rnacentral:lncRNA from 1 species
UGGAUGAUGAUGCUGGCUGGAGAUGCUGAACGUGACAGUUUUGUAAAUUCGGAAUCUAAGGUUAGAUUUAGAAAAGAUUUGGAGACGGUUUUGACGUAUAGGAGUGUGGUAGGAGGUAAUGUAGAGAGAAUUUGUAACAAGAUUGGAGAUGGAAGAUCCAUCAGGGAUGUUGCUUUACUUCACUCAUUUCUUACAAAAAGUCUUAGCGCUGAUAUUUUGCUAUUUAUAGCAAGUGGCUCGGUGAGUUUGAUCAUAAAAAUUAUUCAUAUUUCAACUCUAUCUUCUAUAUUUAAGUAUAAUAUUCAAACAGUUUUCCGGUCAAACUUGCACAACACGCAUUCAGUAUUAAAGGUAAACAAACAGUUAUAUUGUGGCAACAUGACAAGAGUAAAGCGCAAGCAUAUUUGAAAUAAAAAGACUAUUAUAUAUUGUCUUUAAUUUGACUAUCGAUUAAAUAAAAAGAGAAUGUUAUCAACUUAUUUGCAAGCAAAGUUCAUUUAUUAAUUUCCAAUUACCUUAAGUUUCCAUCAAGAGUACGUUCAGUGGGUCUCAUGUGUAUACGUUCAGGUAAGGGAAUGCACCAAGCUCAAAAAAAGGAUCUUUAGCCCCAUUUCUUGUUGUUUUUCUGAGUUCUAUCGAUUAUUUUCAAUCUCGUUUCAUUCUCUUAUUAAUUUGAUCUAAAUAUCAUGUCUACGUCCUUUACCUUUCCAAAAAAUGCCUUUGUUCUACAUUAUUAAUGGUAGAAUAAAAUAUAUCUCGAUUGAACUAAUAUAUUCAAUUUUAAUAUGAUUUUUAUUAACGAAAAAGUAUGUGAUUACAUAAUUUUUAUUCUUUUUAUAUAUAUAUAUACUAGAUUCACUGCACGUGCGUUGCACGUGUAGGCUAAGUCCUGAGAUCCCUAUACACGAGAUAUUUUAUCUUUUAAUGUAUAUUUUAGGUUUUCAACAUAUCAAUAUAUAUUUAAUAUUGCACUACGUCAUACUAAGUGAAUGGCNNNNNNNNNNNNNNNNNNNNNNNNNNNNNNNNNNNNNNNNNNNNNNNNNNNNNNNNNNNNNNNNNNNNNNNNNNNNNNNNNNNNNNNNNNNNNNNNNNNNUGUUUCCGAAUAAAUUUAAAAGGGUAUCCUUCAUUUUAGCGGGGGGAAGGGAGUGAUAGUUGUAUUGUUAGAGUAAACACUUGGCUUGUAGCAUAUUGACAUGUUGUUUUUUUUUGCAUGUAUUACAUUCUCGUCAGAGCCUCUACAAAUCAACCAUGUCCCAUUGCAUAAGCCAUUUGAGGGGUCCAAUUUUCUCAGCAGCAUGAUGGGUGCAUUUUCUUUCAAAACUAACCUAAUGUAUAAAAUUAACAAAAUUAUCAAUUGUUAUGUAUAUGUAAUAGGGUAAUUCUUUUCUUCUCUUUCGUGCUAUUAAGUAUCACAAUAAGAUAACUGUAAAAGUUAGGAUGAAUUAGACAACGUCCCUAUGCGGCGGAGUCCAUUGGGUGUUAAGGUGUUUAGGUAUAAAUACAAUUCAUAUCUUUACUGAGGUCGAUUCUAUGUAGUCUUGCACGCUACAACCUAGUAAAUAUUUGGCCGCUUCAAAUAGUAUAGCUCGGGCACGUUGUUCUCCACCACACACUUCAAGUCGUAAGCAAUAUCUGUUUAAAAAGGGGAGUCAUUUAAAAGUUAAAGUUAAUUUGUUUUCUAAUUAGUAAAUGUAGAAUCGAUUUUUUACUAAGUCUAACCUCAUUUCAUAUUCUACGUCGCAAUUGUUAAUUCUAAGCGUUAUUGUGUAUUAGUACCAUUGAUGAGGGCGACAAAUGGUCAAGAUCAGCAUGAUUAGGCAGGAAUUUGAUGCAUAAAAGAGGGUAUCAUUAAGAUGUAAAGUGCGGCUAAACUAAGGUUAGAAGUAACAUAUAUAUGUAAAGUAUGUGUUUAAAAUAGCCAGGGGACUGUAUAUGAUCAGGUGAACCAAUAAUAGGCUGUAUAAGUAAUGCUUCACGGGGAAGAAACAAAGUUAAUUAGUGGUGUAAAGUAUGUGUUUACAAUUUCCAGGGGACUGUAUGCAAGCAUGUGAACUAAUUAUUAUAUAUUUGCAUUAAUAAAAAUAUUUAUCUCAUAAAAUUAGCUAUUAAAUAAAUAAUAAAAAUUAAACUAAUACAAACUUAGACUUGCGUUAUUACAAGUCAUAUGAACUUUUCUUUGUCUAAAAUACAAAAAAUAUUAAGAAAUAGUAAAUAAGUUAAACAAAAGGUCAAUGUUUACAUAGUAAUAACUAUUUUGAAGAAAACUUUCUAAGAGUCUAAAUCACAUAAGUAGCAUUGAUAAAUAAAGUAAUUCUUUUGUCGUGAGCGUCAAAAACAAAUCGUGACAAUUCUCUAAAUUUUGAAAAAAGAUAUUCAGAAGCAUAUAUCUACAUCACAAGAGAAAUUGUUAAUAAAAACAAAUGAAUUUAGACUACAUAAUACAUGUUAACUUCAUUUAUUGGAACAUUACAUACUAAUGUAUAUAUUAAGCAAAAAAAUAAUUAUUAUUUCAUAAAAAUUAUACUUAUUAUUUUCCUCAAGUACUCGAUGUUAUGAAAUAUACCUUCUAAGAUGGAACGACUUACUUCAUCAGAAUAGUGGUACCUCAUAUUCUGCUAAACUUCGAACUCACUCAACGAUAAUAAAUCACACAAAAAAUUUUAAAAUGCAAGAAGAAGAAGAGGAAUAGAAGAUUAGAAAAAAAUAUGGUUGAAAAAUGAGAGAAAGUCCCUCUAUUUAUAAUCAACAAAAGAUAGUAUGAACAAAUGUUUUUUGUUUCUUAUCUGAAAAAUCAUGACCUUUUCGAGAAAUCACAACACUUUGAAAAAAGACACAACUUUUUUGAAAAAGUCACAAUUCUUUGGAAAAGUCUCAACUUAUUGAAAAUGUCACAACUUUUUGGAAAAGUCACAACGCACCGAAAAAUCACAAUCCUUUGAAAAAAAUCACAACUCGUCGAAAAAGUCACAGGUCGUCGAAAAAGUCACAACCUAAGUUAGAGCUAUUAUAUUUAAAAAACAAUUUGAAAUAUCUUAUAUAUGUUAUGAACAUAUAUCAUUUAUAAUUUAUUUAUGAAAAUAAAAACGUUCAAGACGAAGAUAUUUAUUGAGUUUUUAUGUAUAUGAGUGUCUCACAAUUCAGACUAGAAAUGUUACUGUCUCUUUCUUAUAGGCCAAAAUAGUAAAUUUUGAAGCUUUAUUCACAAUAAAUUUAGUGUUUGAAAGUUUGGUAUUUUUUUUUAACUAAAAGACUAGAAAUUUCUAUAAUGUUAGUUGUUUUAACUAUUUUUUGUUUUGGAUAAAUUAUUAUCUAUUUUCCCUCUUUAAAAUGAAUCGUUUUUUAAAUUUUUGUGUAUGAUUAAUAACUAAACCAAGCCCAACUGAAACCAUUAACACAAACCGAGCUAUUUGCUAAAGUUCCCCAAUAUAUAUUAUAUUUAACUUAAUUUGAAUAAGUUAACAAUCAAUUAAUUUAAUUUAAUUUAAUUUUAAAUUUUAACCAAUAAUCGACCCAAAUUAACAUGGGAACACCCCUUGCCUACAGUCCUACACAGAUAAACAGACAGUGAAAAACACGUUUGGAUAAAGAAAAAAGAGUACAUUUUCCGUUCAAUCAUUCGGUAAUUUCCAGUAAAUUUUCAUGAUUUCAAAUGUUGGUUGAUUAAUCCCUCUAUUACAUAUUAACUGAAUUGUGAGAAAAUAUAUAUUGAUUCAGAAAAACAUUCAACAGUAUAAUUUAUCUCCCACAAAAUAUUGAACUUUAUUAAAGGAAUACACAAAUAUAAAAAAAAUUCAAAUAUCCAAAAAAAAAAAGCCCAAAAAUUGAGUUAAUAUGGAAUGGUAAGAGUAUGAUUUAGAGGCUCAGAUCUGCAAAGAGAUCAGGACGAAAGAGAGGCGACCACGCCAUGGCUGCAAAAUCAUCAACCAUCUGGUGAUUUGCUAAGCCAAGAUACGGAUCUGAUAGUCUCCAUCACCGCCUCUAAUUUUAUGCAAAAUCAACCAACAUACAUGCAGAGAGUAACAGAGACAAAAAAGACCAGAUUAUUGGCAAGUUGAGGAAUAUAGUAGUAUAUGUAUAUUUGCCAUUUCAAUGAUCCAGUAAUUUCCCAGAAAUUAACAUGAAUCCAAGGGUUGUUGCUUCUUCUUUUUUGGGGAAAAAUCAUUGGCUAAACAAGAGAGGGGCAACCACCCUUGUUAACAAAAUUCCUAAACUCUCUGUUUUGCCUCUUUUUUUUGUUUUUGUUUUCUGGGAUAACUUUUUCUUUGCUGGAAAAGUUGUUUGGUUCUCAAUACACACUUUUUUUAACAAUAAUCUAAAAGACAUUCAUAACCUCUGCUUCAAAGUUCUUGAGAGAAAAGGAGCUUGAUACAUGGCUAGAUGCCAAGAAGUUCCCUUCACAUACAUCAAGCCUUUUCAAAGUUUUCUUCACAGGAUGGUGCAAGAACAAGAAAUCAUCGCGCCACAAGAACAACACCUCUCCAUCAUCCAAAACUUUCAACAGAUUAAUCAUUUCAUAGCACAACCAAUAAUUGUUGCAUUCAGGAGAAAUGUUUAUCACAAUCUGUUUAACCCAUGAAUCAGUAACUCCGUAUUCUUUCAUCACCCAUACCUCAAAAUGAGUAUCUGCAUUAUUAUCACACACACAUAAACAACGUCCAAACUUCGUAAAUUUGGACAAUUUUCCUUACUGUACCCUGGAGCAGCAGUUGGGAAUGAUUCAAACAACUCAUUCUCCAAAUUAAACGAACAUAUUAACUCAUUUUGAUUAGCAUCAGAAACCAACCAAUGAAGUUUUCCAUAUAGAUUCACCCUGUAUGCCCUGCAUCCAAAACAGAACAUGAUAUGUUCUACACUAUUUCUCCAAUACCCUUUCCCAAUUGUGUAAACUUGAGCUUCAGACUUGUAAUAACGAAAACCAUUAGUAUCAUCAUCGUGAAUCUCCUCUUGGUAAAUUCUUACCACUUUGUACUCAAACCUAACAGGAUCGAAACCAAAGCCAUAAGUAACUAAAUUAGGCCAUUUUCGUACCCCUUGUGGCUGAGGAAUGAUGAUAUAUUCUCUGGUUGUUGGAUUGAGGAUGUAAAUACUAUCGACAUCACCGAAAAAGUUAUUAAAACAAACGAAACCAUGAACCGAUCCAACGAGGAAAAAUCGAUCAAUAGGAAAGUAAAGUUGUAGAUCAAUGUCAUCAAUUGGAUCAUGAUCAAAGUUAUCGACUACGAAUUUCAAAAACUUUAAGGUGUUGGUCCUAGGAGUUGUCCUAUUAGAGUGGAAUUGGUUGAUGAUGAUGCUGGCUGGAGAUGCUGAACGUGACAGUUUUGUAAAUUCGGAAUCUAAGGUUAGAUUUAGAAAAGAUUUGGAGAGGGUUUUGACAUAUAGGAGUGUGGUAGGAGGUAAUGUAGAGAGAAUUUGUAACAAGAUUGGAGAUGGAAGAUCCAUCAGGGAUGUUGCUUCUUCACUCAUUUCUUACAAAAGUCUUAGCGCUGAUAUUUUGCUAUUUAUAGCAAGUGGCUCGGUGAGUUUGAUCAUAAAAAUUAUUCAUAUUUGUUUUCUAACUUUAUUUAAAAAUCACUAUUUGAUUAUGAUUUUUCAACUCUAAUCUUCUAUAUUUAACUAUAAUAUUCAAACAGUUUUCCGGUCAAACUUGGACAACACGCAUUCAGUAUUAAAGGUAAACAGUUAUGUUUUGGCAACAUGACAAGAGUAAAGCGCAAGCAUAUUUGAAAUUAAAAAACUAUUAAAUAUUGUCUUUAAUUUGACUAUCGAUUAAAUAAAAAGAGAAUGUUAGCAACUUAUUUGCAAGCAAAGCUCAUUUAUUAAUUUCCAAUUAGCUUAAGUUUCCAUCAAGAGUACGUUCAGGUAAGGGAAUGCACCAAGCUCAAAAAAAGGAUCUUUAGCCCCAUUUCUCGUUGUUUUUCUGAGUUCAUCGAUUAUUUUCAAUCUCAUUUCAUUCUCUUAGUAAUUUGAUCUAAAUAUCAUGUCUACGAUCUUUACCUUUCCAAAAAAUGCCUUUAUUCUACAUUAAUGGUAUAAUAAAAUAUAUCUCAUUUGAACUAAUAUAUACAAUUUUAAUAUGAUUUUUAUUAACGAAAAAGUAUAUGAUUACAUAAUUUUUAUUCUUUAUAUAUAUAUAUAUACUAGAUUCACUGCACGUGCGUNNNNNNNNNNNNNNNNNNNNNNNNNNNNNNNNNNNNNNNNNNNNNNNNNNNNNNNNNNNNNNNNNNNNNNNNNNNNNNNNNNNNNNNNNNNNNNNNNNNNAAGUAAUUGUGCACGAAUUAACAGUUUGUCCUCUUAGCUAUGUCGUGUCAUGAACUAUAUGUUCCCUUUUAUUAUUUGAAAUUCAGUGUACCCUGUAUUUGAAUAACUUUAUAUACACAAAAGUAAUGUCUUCUGUGGUAGCUGUCUGGUGUUUUUCAUAUCAUCUCCUCUUCCACCAAACCUAAGAAUUCGUCCAAUAUAAUUUUCAUUAGGAACUGUAUGUUCCCUUUUGUUUUUUCCUGUUUGAUUUCUUACAAUUUUGGUAUUAAUCAAAUCUCACCCAAUACUUUCUUGUAGGCAGUAUUUCUUGUGUAUGUCCCGGUGCAUCAAUCUAGUUGUUCAGUCAUGACCUGCACUUUUUUUGUUGGAAUAGAUAUUCCUCUAGAUAGUGCAAUGUAGAUUUUGCCAUGCGAGAAAUCAUGUUGUGGUAGGUAUACUCCUACAUUUGACAUCGUUUGACCUUUAGCUUUUUUUUAUCAUCAUUGCAAAAACAUAAACGUAUUGGAAAUUGUUUCCGAAUAAAUUUAAAAGGGUAUCCUUCAUUUUCGCGGGGGAAGGGGGGGGGUGAUAGUUGUAUUGUUGGAGUAAACACCUGGUUUGUAGCAUAUUGACAUGUUGUUUUUUCUGUAUGUAUUACAUUUUCGUCAGUGCCUCUACAAAUCAACCAUGUCCCAUUGCAUAAGCCAUUUGAGGGGUCCAAUUUUCUCAACAGCUUGAUGGGUGCAUUUUCUUUCAAAACUAACCUAAUGUAUAAAAUUAACAAAAUUAUCAAUUGUUAUGUAUAUGUAAUCGGGUAAUUCUUUUCUUCUCUUUCGUGCUAUGAAGUAUCACAAUAAGAUAAUUGUAAAAGUUAUGAUGAAUUAGACAACGUACCUAUGCGGCGGAGUCCAUUGGGCGUUAAGGUGUUUAGGUAUAAAUACAAUUCAUAUCUUUACUGAGGUCGAUUCUAUGUAGUCUUGCACACUACAUCCUAGUAAAUAUUUAGCCGCUUCAAAUAGUAUAGCUCGGGCAUGUUGUUCUCCACCACACACUUCAAGUCGUAAGCAGUAUCUGUUUAAAAAGGGGAGUCAUUUUAAAGUUAAAGUUAAUUUGUUUUCUAAUUAGUAAAUGUAGAAUCGAUUUUUUACUAAGUCUAACCUCAUUUCAUAUUCUACAUUCUCAUCGUUGCAAUUGUUACACGAUACAAUAUGUUCUAUAACUUUCACUUUUUUGCUGCACUUUUUGCAAGAUGAAUACCACAACUCAUCUUUAUUGAGUAUGUCUAUAAUUGUUGCUUUGAACUUGUACAAACAAUCCUACACAUCGCCAAUAUAUCAUAUUUGUGAUUAUAUUUUGGAUAUUAAAAUGGUUAUUAUUUUUAGAGAGUGAAAGUGUAGGAUAUAUAGUAUGUACUUGUGAAUCAGCUAUCAAUCAAUCCAUAAUAUAUACCAACGGAACUUCUAUGGCUCUUCCCAUUUCCUUACUUGAUGUUACCAUAAAAUCUUUAUUUUCGGCCUUUAUCAUUUCACGCCUGUAUUUUUGAUGAGAUUAGUUAAUUGUAUCACCCAUUUUGAGUGAGAUGUCCUCGGUGCAAAGGUUUUGAGAACUUAAAAAUUUUAGUAUGCAAUAACCCAUCAAUGAUAAUAGAACAAUUGUGUCCUGUUAUAGGAACUUUAAAAGUAACCUGUACAAUGCAAAAGUAUAGUAUGCACAUUAAUUGUGACAAUCGGGUUUAGAUAACAUUGCAGAACAUAUGUGUGAUUAAUGUAAUGUAUCAGGUCUGUGAAUUUUUGAAAUUGUGGAUUGACAAGACGCUACUCAUGGAAAUAAUAGAUAUUUCAAAAGUGCCUAGCGUGACAAGAGCUUGUUUCAACUUUGAAACAACAACUAUACUCAGUUUAUUAUAAAAACACAAAGUAGUCUGUCAAAUACUUUUAUAGAUUGAGAUUCUAACGUCACAUAAGUCCAGUAUAGGUUUAUCAUCUUUCAUCUUUUCUAGAAAAGCACCGUCAUUUUUUGCAAAAUCUUCUCAUAGAGUAACAGUUGUAUUCUCCAUGCUGGGGCGAAAUGUGAAUACUUCACCAUAUCUCUAUAGUGGUGGUAUUUUACGCAUCUUUAAAACAUACUGCUCAUUUGUAACAACUAUCUCCCGUCUCUUGCUAUAUUUUUUUCAAUGAGAGGAUUCAUUAAAACUAAAACGCAAAUCAAAUCUUAGAAUAGGUAAUGUAAAUUAGUGAUAGCGAUUGCGUAAUGGAGCAUGAAAUUAAAUAACAAUUUUUUUGGAUGAAUAGUUACCUAGAAUAGCACCAUUAGGUAAUUUAUCGACAUAAUCCAAUGAUACAAAACCAACAGAGAAUCUGUGUGUUGAAACCUCAAUGUCAGUCGCCUUUAUGAUUGUGUUAUCUGUAAAUGUCAAUUCAACUUCUUUAUGUACGAAAUAGUAGUUGGGGUUGACGCGUACUAAGCGUCUUUUAGCAAUGUAGUAACUCUUAUUUGGUCUCAAGGAGUCCUUCCAUGUUUCGAUAUGCUUAUUAAAUAGUGUUGCUUGGAUUUUUGUACCUAGUAUUGUGCAAAGGGGUGGGAGUAUAAGUACAAUAAACAUGAACGAUAAAAUAAUAAGGUAAGUAAAUAUGUAAAUGUUAGUACCUCUUCAUUAACUAAUAUUAUUGUUCUGAAAGUCCCUUUAUGCCUUGAAUUCUUGUAAGGUAUUAUUGAACCCCUUCAAAUCACUAAGACUCUCAUCACCGAAUUAACGGACUGUUUUUGUAACUUGUUUAUCGGUACAUUCCAUUUUGCUAGUUCAAUUUCAGUCGUCAUGUGGGCUGGAGCUUGAUGACUACCAUUGGGCGGCAAUGUUAAUUCUAGGCGUUAUUGUGUAUUAGUACCAUUGAUGAGGGCGACAAAUUGUCGAAAUCAACAUGAUUAGGCAGGGAUUUGAUGCAUAAAAGAGGGUAUCAUUAAGAUGUAAAGUGCGGCUAAACUAAGGUUAGAAGUAACAUAUAUAUGUAAAGUAUGUGUUUGAAAUUGCCAGGGUACUGUAUAUGAGCAGGUGAACCAAUAAUAGGCUGUAUAAGUAAUGCUUCACGUUGAGAAACAAAGUUGAUUAGUGGUGUAAAAUAUGUGUUUACAAUUUCCAGGGGACUGUAUGCAAGCAGGUGAACUAAUAAAUAUAUAUUUGCAUUAAUAAAAAUAUUUAUCUCAUAAAAUUAGCUAUUAAAUAAAUAAUAAAAAUUAAACUAAUACAAACUUAGACUGACGUUAUUACAAGACAUAUGAACUUUUCUUUGUCUAAAAUACUGAAAUAUUUAAGAAAUAGUAAAUAAGUUAAACAAAAGGGCAAUGUUUACAUAGUCUAACUAUUUUGAAGAAAACUUUCUAAGAGUCUAAAUCACAUAAGUAUCAUUGAUAAAUAAAGUCAUUCUUUUGUCUUGAGCAUUAAAACAAAUCGUGACAAUUUUCUAAAUUUUGGAAAAAGAUAUUCAGAAGCAUAUAUCUACAUCACAAGAGAAAUUGUUAACAAAAACAAAUGAAUUUAGACUAUAUCAUGUAACUUCAUAUAUUGAAACUGAACGUGACAGUUUUUGUAAAUUUCGGAAUCUAAGGUUAGAUUUAGAAAAGAUUUGGAGACGCUUUUGACGUAUAAGAGUGUGGUAGGAGGUAAUUUAGAUAGAAUUUGUAACAAGAUUGGAGAUGGAAGAUCCAUCAGGGAUGUUGCUUCUUCACUCAUUUCUUACAAAUCUUAGCACUAAUGUUUUGCUUUUUAAAGCGUUUAUUAUAGCAAAGUGGCUUGGUGAUUAAAUUGUUGUAUUUAAGUAUAUUCAAACAUAAGACCAUUAUUCAAUAGUAUGUUUUUUUAAUCAAUUCUACAAUUGUCGAGUUGGUCAAUACUUGUGAAAG